GGAGGGAUAGCAUAGUCCGGCCGAAUGCGCGCGUCUCGAAAACGCGUGGGCAGAAAUGCCCCGUGGGUUCAAAUCCCACUCCCUCCG
rnacentral:tRNA from 2 species